UACGGAAGGACAGCAGUGGGGAAUAUUGCACAAUGGGCGCAAGCCUGAUGCAGCCAUGCCGCGUGUAUGAAGAAGGCCUUCGGGUUGUAAAGUACUUUCAGUCGUGAGGAAGGUGUUAAGGUUAAUAACCUUAGCAAUUGACGUUAGCGACAGAAGAAGCACCGGCUAACUCCGUGCCAGCAGCCGCGGUAAUACGGAGGGUGCGAGCGUUAAUCGGAAUUACUGGGCGUAAAGGGCACGCAGGCGGUUAAUUAAGUUGGAUGUGAAAUCCCCGGGCUUAACCUGGGAAUGGCAUUCAAGACUGGUUAGCUAGAGUCUUGUAGAGGGGGUAGAAUUCCAUGUGUAGCGGUGAAAUGCGUAGAGAUGUGGAGGAAUACCGGUGGCGAAGGCGGCCCCCUGGACAAAGGACUGACGCUCAUGUGCGAAAGCGUGGGGAGCAAACAGGGAUUAGAUACC
rnacentral:rRNA from 1 species